rnacentral:rRNA from 1 species
UAUUAUUUUAGAUGUAAAAUAUUUAAACUUGAGUAGUAUUAGAAUAAGAUCUUGAAACUUAAAGAAUUUGGCGGUAUCUUAGUCUAUUUAGAGGAAUCUGUCCCAUAAUCGAUAAUCCGCGUUGGACCUUACUUAAAUUAUAUAAAUAUGUAUACCGCUGUUGUUGAAAAUCUUUUUAGAGUUAAUUUUUUAAAAAUUUGUUAAAUAAUUUUUCAGGUCAAGGUGCAGUUUAUAUUUAAGUGGAGAUGGAUUACAAUAUUUAAAGUGUAUACGUAUUAUUAUCUGAAAUUGGUAAUAUGAAGGUGGAUUUAAUAGUAAUAUUAUGAAGAUUGUUAAUAUGAUUAUAGCUCUAAGAUAUGUACACAUCGCCCGUCGCUCUCGUUAUGUUUAAGGUGAG